GAACGCGUGGCGGCAUGCCUUACACAUGCAAGUCGAACGGCAGCGGGCCUUCGGGUGCCGGCGAGUGGCGAACGGGUGAGUAAUGCAUCGGAACGUGCCAUUGAGUGGGGAUAACGUAGCGAAAGUUACGCUAAUACCGCAUAUUCUGUGAGCAGGAAAGCAGGGGACCGCAAGGCCUUGCGCUCUUUGAGCGGCCGAUGUCAGAUUAGCUAGUUGGUGAGGUAAAGGCUUACCAAGGCGACGAUCUGUAGCGGGUCUGAGAGGAUGAUCCGCCACACUGGAACUGAGACACGGUCCAGACUCCUACGGGAGGCAGCAGUGGGGAAUUUUGGACAAUGGGCGCAAGCCUGAUCCAGCCAUGCCGCGUGAGUGAAGAAGGCCUUCGGGUUGUAAAGCUCUUUCGGCCGGGAAGAAAUCGCAUGAGUUAAUACCCUGUGUGGAUGACGGUACCGGAAUAAGAAGCACCGGCUAACUACGUG
rnacentral:rRNA from 1 species